rnacentral:lncRNA from 1 species
CUUAAAUUAUCGAGACCCAUACAUACAAAGAUCUAGGUUGCGAAGUACGAGUUGGAUAGACACAUUUCCUUACUAAAAGGAAGAGUUGAGUUUGAUCCCUUCUAUCCAAGGGAUGUACGGUUAGAAGAAGAUUAGCGCCUUAACUUGUGGGCUCCGAAUCUUACCUCGAAAACUAGAGGGAUAAGAAAGCUAGAACGAAGUUUAUUGAGCAGAAAGGUUGGCUUUUAAAGGGAUCUCGGAGAUCGUAACUCGUGGGGGUAGGAAUUAGGGGUCCUUUCACUAGAGGCAAGGAAAGGCUCUAUGAAUAAGGUCUAUUGCAAUCAUUCCUCCCUAGCUUAAGAACUAGGAAGAAACGUAAAC